rnacentral:rRNA from 1 species
GGGCCAGUAGGUUGGUCGUGCCACCGGUACGUACUGGUCUCACUGAUUCCUCCUUCCUGAAGAACCGUAAUGCCAUUAAUUUGGUGUUGCGGGGAAACAGGACUGUUACUUUGAAAAAAUUAGAGUGUUUAAAACAAGCUAACGCUUGAAUACAUUAGCAUGGAAUAAUGAAAUAGGACGAUCGAUCCUAUUUUGUUGGUUUCUAGGAUUGACGUA